AGUGAACGCUGGCGGUAGGCCUAACACAUGCAAGUCGAACGGCAGCACAGUAAGAGCUUGCUCUUACGGGUGUCGAGUGGCGGACGGGUGAGGAAUACAUCGGAAUCUACUUUUUCGUGGGGGAUAACGUAGGGAAACUUACGCUAAUACCGCAUACGACCUACGGGUGAAAGCAGGGGAUCUUCGGACCUUGCGCGAUUGAAUGAGCCGAUGUCGGAUUAGUUAGUUGGCGGGGUAAAGGCCCACCAAGGCGACGAUCCGUAGCUGGUCUGAGAGGAUGGUCAGACAGACUGGAAGUGAGACACGGUCCAGACUCCUACGGGAGGCAGCAGUGGGGAAUAUUGGACAAUGGGCGCAAGCCUGAUCCAGCCAUACCGCGUGGGUGAAGAAGGCCUUCGGGUUGUAAAGCCCUUUUGUUGGGAAAGAAAAGCAGCAGGUUAAUACCCCGCUGUUCUGACGGUACCCAAAGAAUAAGCACCGGCUAACUUCGUG
rnacentral:rRNA from 1 species